ACAGCUGAAGUGUGGAAAAUUGAAAGAAUUCGAAAAGUGAAAUCAAUAUUCAGCCUAAGUUAACAAUGUUUUUGAACCUGAAAGAUGAAAGAACUUGGUAUUAUGUUAACUAAAUGUUCUAAUGCAUAUUUACCAGUCCAUUUGUCAUCAUUUACCACGUGAUGACGACCAUUGUUGAAGCUGGCCAGGAAUUCUAAGCUGUCAACAAUCCUGCAGCCGUAGUGUGUCUAUACUAAAAGUGGAAUCAAAAAUUUGAAUCUCAAAUGAAUCCAAGAACUUUGAGUCGUCAUUACACUUUCUUUCCGAUUUUGAUAAUGGGGAGCGGCAGUUUGAACACAUCAACUAAAUAACAUUUUCUACAUCUACAAUCAAUUGUGUUUGUCCUGAGGUUUUUGUUUGAUUUUUCUAGGUGAUAUUGCAGACAUACCAUUUUGCAAGUACUUACCUACCUGAGCAGCUGAGCUCUUCCUUUCUGUGGUUCCUUUCAAUUGAUUCAUUUGAGUUAAAUCCCUCGCCACUGUUCCAGAUCUUACCCACUAGUGGAAUAUGCAGAGAGAUGUUCAACUUAUAACAGGUUAGCCCUUCGCCAUUGUGCUACAAUUUGAAGAAGUUGACGGUUACAGAAGAGUUGGCUUUCGAUCAAUAUCAAUAAAUUAUGUAGAUGUAGAUAAAUUACAAGUGUAUAUCUGGGCUCCCUUCUUUUCUGUGGGCCCGUUUCCCUAACUAA